rnacentral:lncRNA from 1 species
GUUCUUACAAAUCAUAAGCAAACAAUCCAAGGAUCAAGCACAAAAGGAAUAAACUAAAAAUCCCAAAUAAAAUAAACUUUUAUUUAAAACUUAACUAAAGUGAACACAAGCAAAGCUCAAAAGCAUAAGAUGUAUGGUAAAACUUCCUCAUAUGAACAAUUGAACUAUAGCAUAAUUAGAUCCCUUCAAACAACUAAUGACCAAACAUGUUUUAGGGAUUUCUAACAUAGUUUAGUUACUUACCACUAUUCUUCCUGAUAUUAUACUUUCUCUCAGUUUAAUUUCUAAUUGACCAGGUAAGAAUGGAAAACUAAGUGAAAGAUGGGGGAUAGAGUUUGAUGAGAACCUACCAGCUAAUUUAAGAGAAGUCAAUGGCCAAGGACGGUUGGAUAUGCAAUUGGGACGAAUUGGGGAAAUCAAUUGCAUGAUUUGUAAAAAUAACUUUAAGCUUUCUUAUAUGUUAAUUCUUAUUACUGUUUUUACUUGCUAUGAAAGUUAUUUUUCACUAGUAAUUGAACACAAUCCUCAACUAUUGAUUGAAAAAAAUAAAUUAUUUAGUUUAUUACAAAUUAAGUUAUUACGGGAAUGAUACAAUACAAUAUCCAGACUUAGUUCAUUGUUAUUAUGUGUAGUGUGUUAUAUUCAAGUUAACAAGUAUAUGGAAUGAGGAUAAAAAGAUCCGAAUUGGUAUUUAUCCUUAGGAAAUCAAUAACAUUAUGUAGGAAUGUGUGUGUGAGAGUUGCAUGUGUAUAUAAAUGAUAAAAAAUGUCAAGGUCUAGCUCAUAACGUGUCUUCAAUUUGUUUGAAUAAAAAAAAUAAUUGAUUUGAUAUAUAAAUAAUUAUUUUUUAAUAUAAACGGACUCUCUGAGAGUACAAUCAAAUAUAAUAUGAAUAAAAAAUGAAUUAGAAUAGUGACAUUCACUCGACUUGACUUGCAAUGUGAGACCUCGAAAAGUUGUGAUGAAUUAAUAAUGGUCAUGUGUUUCACAUUAGGUAAACUUUUCAUGUUAUUAUUAAACUUUCCAUUGAGGAAUUAAAAAUAAAUAGAUAGAAAUAAAGUGUUUUGUAAGCUUAAACAUGUUUUUAAUUUCUCAAAUUUAGGUCAUUUUUUUUGUCUUUCAAAUUUAAAUUUAUUUUUUUAGUCUCUAGGUUUUUAAGGUUGUUUUGUAGUCCCUCUUGUUAGUGUGGGUCAAAUUGAAAAUAAUGAGUCUUUUUUUUACCACAUUUGUGCAAUUUUUCUAAUUAAUCACAUAAGUAUGUAAAUUUCAAAUGAGUUACGAGAAAUGAGUGAUUUGUGUUUAGGAACACGAUUUCAUAUGUGAAGGAAUCAUCGUUGUUGUAAAGAUGACUUUAUUUUUAUAUUCUUUCUUAAAUGAAAAAAAUGUCAUAUGAAAGACGAUUUCAUUAUUUUAUAUGUCAAUCAGCUAAAGUCUUCUUUUUCAAAGGUAAUUUCAGUAUAACCAUGCUUCUUACUUUUCAAAAACAAAAAGAUGAUAGCAACAUGCAGAUAACUCAGGAUUGGGAUGAAGAUAUUGAUAAUUAGGAGCCGUGAGGGAAGUGAGGUUCCUUAGAAUGGUUGAGAAGCAUGAGAAGGAUUCAGUUGUUGUAGUUUCAAUGAAGCAAAUAUGGUAUGAUGUGAGGGAAAUACUAGAACUGAAUUUAGUUAAACCCCUCUAACAAUAUUCAUGUGAUGCUUGACAUCCUUACGGGAACUACAGUGUCAAGCAUCACAGUGAAUAUUGUUAAUAGGGUUCAACUAAAUUCAGUCAUGGUAUUUCCCUUACAUCACACCACAUGUGCUUCGUUGAAAGUGUAGAACAACGGAAUCCUUCUCACGCUCCUCAACCAUCUUAAGAAACAUCCAUUAUCCUCACGGCUCCUAUGUCCUAGUCUUCAUCCCAAUACAGAAUUACCUGCAAGUUGUUAUCUUUUUGUUUUUUACGGUGAAAACCAUGGCUAUACCGAAAUCAAAUAAUCUUUGAAAGACUUCAAUAUAUUAACAUUAAAAAAAAAUACUCAAAUUGUCUUUAAAAUGACAAUUUCUUCAUAAAAAAGAAUAUAAAAAAAGUAAUCUCUACAAUGACGAUUUUUUUACAUAUGAAGUUGUAUUCCUAAACACGAGUUGCCCAUUGUCAUAAUUUAUUUGAAAUUUAUCAAUUUUGGUAAUUAAUUAGAAAACUUGCACCAUUUCACUAAAAAAGCCAAAUAAUGGAUUCACUAUGUGAUAUUUUUUACCAAAACUUAUGUUUUAUAAAAACAAUUUUUAGCCGUUAAAAAUUGUAAACAAAUUUAAAAAAAUUAUUAUUAGUACUAGGUUUCAUCACACCAAUUUUGGUAAAAAGUCAAACAAUGAAUUUACUGUCCGAGUUGAUAUUUAUUUAAUUUUUUCUAGGUGAUUAUAUAUCUAGUUUUACAAAAAAAAAUUAAUAAUAAAUAUUUUUUUUUGUCAAAUCUAUUAUUUAUUAAAUAAUUAUUUAUCAAAAUUUCAAUAUUUAAACAACUAUGUAAAAAAAGUUCAACCCCUUUUAAU